CGUUCGUAGUUGAAUUUGUGCUUCAUACGGGUAGUACAACUAUAAUUGUGGAUUGUACGUUACCUUAUGUAUGUAAGCGUAUUACCGGUGGAGUUCUAAUAUAUAAUGGUCUUUGUAUCAUUAUGUAUACCUCCUAUUUAAACCUGCUUCAGUGCUCUUCAUCGAGUGUUGUUGUGGGCCGGUACAAUUACUUUGAACAAAUUAGAGUGCUUAAAGCAGGCUCCAAAUGCCUGAAUAUUUUGUGCAUGGAAUAAUGAAAUAAGACCUCUGUUCUACUUUCAUUGGUUUUUAGAACAAGAGGUAAUGAUUAAUAGAAGCAGUUUGGGGGCAUUAGUAUUACGACGCGAGAGGU
rnacentral:rRNA from 1 species